GUCCGCUCCGAGCCUCGCUGCCUUCCUCAGCGCGUCCUGCGCGGGCACCACAUCAACAAUUUGCGGAGUUCUUCUGCGCGGCCGCGCGGGUGGCGUUCCAGCUUGGAGGUUCGGAAUGAUGCGCUCAACGUGGUGUCAUCCUAGUGGAAACAGCAUCAAAAAAAAAAAAAAAAAGGCUUCAGGACACCGCUGAAUCGACCACUUCUGGCAAAGCUCUCCUGCUCCAAAAGACAAAUAAACGCAAAAAUGAUUACCGCGGAGGUGUUCCCGGGCACAGGAGAGCGGGGCGCGGGCCCGUGGCGUCUCGCGGAAUGGACGGCGGCGCGCGGAGCCCGGCCCUCCCUCCCCGAGGAGCGCGCCCUUCCCGGGAGCCGGGCCCCGCACCGCGGGAGCCGCGCUGUCAGCGCUGACGCGCACAGGGGCGGAGCAAGAGCCAUAUAUGGCCCGCACGGCCCGGCCCCGCAUCCGCGCCUCCGCCGCUGCAGCCGCCGCCGCCGCGCUCCUGCCGGCCCCUGCCGGCCCAGGCUGCUGGUGGAGGUGGGGUGAAGAGGGGGGGGCUGAAGGGGGGGGGUGGAGGCGCGUGGUGAAGAGUCGGAAGGAGAUAAUUAAAGAGGGAGAUGAUGAGGGUUGGGGAAGGAAUGGGGAAGUGUGGGGAGAGAGGAGGAGAAAAGGAAUAAAAAAUUAAAAUUGGAAAUUAUUAAAAAAAAAAAAAGAAAAAAUGGUCCGAAGAAAGAAUGGAUAAGAGGAAAGUGAAAUGAAGCUUGAGAAGUUUAAAGAGGAAUGGUUAAAAAUAAUAAGAAAUAAAAGGAAAAAGAAUUUUAAAAUAUAUAUUAAAAAAAAA